rnacentral:rRNA from 1 species
UACGUAGGGUGCGAGCGUUGUCCGGAAUUAUUGGGCGUAAAGAGCUUGUAGGCGGUUUGUCGCGUCUGCCGUGAAAAUCCGAGGCUCAACCUCGGACUUGCGGUGGGUACGGGCAGACUAGAGUGUGGUAGGGGAGACUGGAAUUCCUGGUGUAGCGGUGAAAUACGCAGAUAUCAGGAGGAACACCGAUGGCGAAGGCAGGUCUCUGGGCCACUACUGACGCUGAGAAGCGAAAGCAUGGGGAGCGAACAGG